UAUUUUUUAAAUUGCUGUGGUAUUUUAACUAUACGAAGGUAUUGAAAUAAGGCUUUAAAUGGGUGCUAAGAGAAUGGUUUAACGAAGAUAGACUUUUUUCUUUUUUUUAUUAAAAGUUGAUUUAAAAAUGAAGAGGUUUUUAUAGAAAUUUGGGACAAGAAGACCCUAUGAAUUUUGAUAUAAGAUUUUUUAAUUAAAUUUUCUAAUAAAUUUUAAAUUUUUCUUUUAUUUGAUUGGGGUGAUUUUUAAAGAUUCAGAAUCUUUAAAGUUUUAUUAAAUGGAUCCAUUAAUAGUGAUUUGUUGAAUAAAAUACUCUAGGGAUAACAGCGUUAUUAUUUUGGAUAGUUCAUAUAGAUAAAAUAGUUUGCGACCUCGAUGUUGGAUUAAGAUACUCUUGGAGUGUAGAAGCUUCAAAAAUAGGAGAAGUUUGCUCAACUUUUAAAUUCUUACUUGAUCU
rnacentral:rRNA from 1 species